AGCAUGGUUCAGGAAUCCAGCCCCCAGCAGUCGGGGUCGGUUGCCGAGAUAGGAUGAAACCUAUUUGCAACGCCUGUCCGUUGGGGACGUCUUGCAUAGCUGUCUUUGGGGCUGCAGCAUUAUGAAGCCUGACCCCUGGGCAGCUGAUCCACGUGGAGCUGGGCUGCAGGGACCGGAGAGCUCCAGGUCUUCGGACUGUUUGUCUUUGACCUUCACUGGUGGGGUUGCGGAGCCCGGCUUUAAAGGACCCUAGCCACGUACCUCAUUUUAACUUAAUUAUGUCUCUGAAGACCUGUCUCCAAAUGAGGUAUGGGGGCUUAAGACUUGAACUCGUGGAUUUUGAGGAGGACACAAUCCAUCCUAUAACACAGGAGUUCUUUCUGGGCUAUUCACAGUUCAGUAGGGAUCUGACAGCUGGCUGACAGGUAAGUAAACCACAGGUAAGUAAACCAAGGUUCAGAGGAGUUUGCUAACUUGCCCAGGGACACAGAGCUUUUAAAGGGAAAAGCUGGAAUUUCAACACAGGUCAUUGGGACUCUGGUGUCUGCUCAGUUUCCAUCACGCAGAGAAAGAGUAGUUCAUCGUGGAGGGGUGUGAGGGAUGGGCUCUGAAUCUGGGUAUGCCCCUCUUGGACUGAUGCCUCUCUCUCUCUCACAUAUUUUUCCUUUGGCAACUUCUUCCACUCAGCCAGCCUCCACCCCUUGAGUUUUGCUUACCCAGAAACCCAGGAAGCUUUAGGAACCCACUUGCAAGGCUUUGAGUCCAAUUCUGACCCUACCAAUGUUACUCCUGUGAUGAUGAUGAUUAAUUAAUAAAACUAACCAUUUAUUAAGCAUCUGCUUUGGAACCCAUGUUAGGCUCUUAAGAUAAAGUAGCUCCUAUUCUCUCAAUAACUCUCUGUACGGUGAUUAUCGUCUGUUUACAGACAAGCCAGGAUGUUUAUUAUGUCGUACUGUGCAAGAGUGAAAAAUUGGAAACAAGCACAUACACUUGCAAAUUACACAUUCCUUAUUCUUAGCUCUCUGUGCCCUUACGUGAGUUCUUGUUAGCCUGGAUUCUGCAACCUUGAGAAGCGCGCACUUGAGCAGACAGGUAGGGCCACGCAGUCCUACAAAAGGCCACAGUUGCUGAUACACUCACCGUGUAUGGGGGCCCCUGUCUUCCCGCACUCUCGGCCACACUGGAUGCUAUCAAUCCUUUAAAUUUUGGCCUCAUGUGUAGAGCUACGUUAUCUAAAACAGUAGCUGCUGACCUGGUGUGUCUGUGUGAAUUUCAUCAAAAUAAAAUUUUAAAAUUCAGCUCCUUGGCUGCACCAGCCCCAUUUCUAGAGCUCAACAGCCCCACGUGGGCCUGGUGGCUACCAUGUCGUACAGCACAGCUACAGAGCAUUUCCAUCACCCCCGAACGCUCUACUAGACAGUGCUGCUUUGGGACAAAGAAAUGAAUCUCAUUGUUUUGGGAUCCAUGUCCCUGACACUAAUGAGCUGGACCAGAUUUUCACUGAACAUCUAUAGCAAACUCUUAGGCACACUCGUUACAUAAGAGGCAAGAUUCUGAGUGUGUGACAGAGGCCAUCCAUUGAAUGUCUUUAUCAGUUUGAUGUUUGAAUGCUGGAGAACAAGCACAAGAAGGAAAGGGGAAUUUGAGAGGGUCUCAGAGAGGAGUCUAAUGAGGACGCCAGGUCCCCAGGAGGACUCAGAGCAAUUGGUUUGUAGGAGAAGGAGCAACGUAUCCUCGGAGCACUAGGGGAGGAAAGGACAGGUAAGGUGCUGGUGAGUCUGUGCCUUCAGUGGGACGGCUUCUGUUCUUUCUCUCUCUGUACGAGGCAUGAUCAUCACCCUGGAGUGAGGAAGCAGGAAGUAGGAGGAGGAUGGAGGAAAGCAGAACCAUGACACAGCUGUUCCCUGGAAUGGGAACAUGAGCUCACUCAGGGAACACACAUGAUUUCUGGCUAUUUUGAGGGUCCAAAACCCUCAGGGGCCCUUCCCCGCCCAACCAAGAGCCCUCAAAAGGGUUGUAGUUGUGCUGGCUCUUGACCUUGUCCUUGAGGUUUAUACUUUUUCUUGGCUGGGCCUGUGGGGGGACGGAGGAGUUGGGAGCGAGGGUAGGGGUGGGUGGACAGAACACUCCCUUCCACGGAAGAAGUUCAUGCAAGAAUGUCUGCUUCUCAAGGUCUCUUUAGCCUCUGACCCUUGCCAAACAGGUGAAUUGAACCCAUUUGGAAAAUUAUAUGCACCUUUGAAUCUUUAUGAUGAAUUCCAAACUAACCAAUCAGAACACAAAGUGCAGCUUGAGAAGCAGGGGACAAGGGAAUGGGAAUGUCUCCUCAAGGAUUUUCUCCCUGGGCCCAAAGUAUUUACAUUCAGAUUUGCAUGUGAUUUGCAUAUAAUUUGUGUCCGGCUACAAAGCCUGUCUGUUGUUCAGAUAAUGUUUAAGCUAAAGUUAAUUUCUAGAAUAUCUUUCUCUCCCCAUCUUUCCUUACCCCAUUUACUCAGAUGCAUGGUAGAAAUGUCAGGAUUUUCAGGGGACAAAGGUAGUCCCUGGGUCACAUGCUCUCUUUGUCGGCAACGCUUUGCCUAAUUAGGAGUUUUAUUGUCAUAAAAUGUCUUAGACGGCAACAAAAACUGGAACAGGGCUGCUCAGAGGGUUAGAAGCAAGAGGUAGGGGAGUGAACUCGGCUGAGUUGGAAAGAGGAGAGUUAGCUAGAUAAACCAAAAGAAGGAAAAAGUCUGGGAAAAUUACUGGUGCUAACUACAUUUUUUAAAGAUUUUAUUUAUUUGACACAGAGUAGGCAGAGAGGCAGGCUGGGGGGCAGGUGAUGGGGGAAAGCAGGCUCCCUGCUGAGCAGAGGGCCCAACACGGGGUUCAAUCCCAGGACCUUGAGACCAGGACCUGAGCCAAAGGCAGAGUCUUAACCCACUGAGCCACCCAGGUGCCCCGAUGCUAAGUAACUCUUAAUGAGGAAGGCUCACAGUGUCCCAGGCAUUGUUUCCAGUGCUUUGCUUGUAUUGUGAGUUUAUCCUCAUAACAGCCCUACUAGGCAAGUACUUUUGUUACUCUCAUUUUAGAGAGGAGUCAGCGGAGACCCACAAAGGGUAUGAUCUUCUGCCUGAGAGCAUGCAGCAAAGGGAGACCAUCCGAACUUGGCUUGGUCCUCAGAUUCCCUAACGGGGGUACAGCUGGUCUGCUCUGCUGUGUGUAGAACAAGAAGGGAUAGUUCUGGAAGUAAGGGUGAGGCCAGCUCUUCACUUUAGGGAGAAAUCAUCAGGCCAGGAGAGGGGUCAGGGUAUGACAUGCCUGCCUGGACGUUCAAGCGGGGCAGGAGAUGGAAGGGGGUUUGCUGAGCCCACCCCGGCAGCGCAAAGGGGCUGCAACUGCUCUCGCUCCCUGGCUUGGUCCAAGCCAUCCCAUGUUUACUCUUUCUUUUGACAGAGAAUUCCCUCCCGAGCAAGACCUGGUCUCAGCCCGGUGCAGCGCUAGCCGGAAGCCUGCAGAUGUGGACAAGUGGGAAGCACUGGGUCCGUGGCCUGGAGUAAGAGGUUGGCAGGAAGACAAGGGCAAGAAUGACUCAGCCCCUUUGUCGUCACGCUCAGAAGGAAUCCAUCUUAUCAGGCCCCAAAUGACCAGCAGGACAAAGAGAUACUGCUUAGAAGGUGUGAUGGAAGAAAAAAACCAGGUGUCGGGUCUCAGCUCAUGAAGCUCUAACACCGAAACUGGGUGGUACUCACGGCAGGAUGGCAUCAAAAACCGGAGGGACUUGAGACAGAUAGGCAGCUGACUUGUCCUUGUGCCUAAGCUGGCCAUCUCCUAUAAUCAUGUUUCAACAGUUCCCUACCAAGUCAGAGUUAAGAUGACGGAAAAUGUCCAGAGGAAGAUCAUUUGGAUUCUACUUUGCCACCGUCCCACUCGACAUUUUCAUCAAUAACAAAUCGAUGAAAUGCUUAUUAAAUGUGUUGAUCAGUAAUUGGAAGGGAUAACUCAUGUACAGAGCUUCACCAAUAAAAAUUCAGAA